rnacentral:rRNA from 1 species
GACGAACGCUGGCGGCGUGCUUAACACAUGCAAGUCGAACGAUGAAACCUAGCUUGCUAGGUCGAUUAGUGGCGAACGGGUGAGUAACACGUGACUAACCUGCCCCUUUCUCUGGGAUAACGCCCCGAAAGGAGUGCUAAUACCGGAUACUACCACCGAGGCACAUGCCUGGGUGUGGAAAGUUUUUCGGAAAGGGAUGGAGUCGCGGCCUAUCAGCUUGUUGGUGAGGGAACGGUUCACGAAGUGGACGAAGGGUAGCCGGCCUGGGAGGUCGACCGGCGACACUGGGACUGAGACACGGCCCAGACUCCUACGGGAGGCAGCAGUGGGGAAUAUUGCACAAUGGGCGCAAGCCUGAUGCAGCGACGCCGCGUGAGGGAUGAAGGUCUUCGGAUUGUAAACCUCUUUCAGUAGGGACGAAGCGAAAGUGACGGUACCUAAAGAGGAAGCACCGGCUAACUACGUGCCAGCCGCCGCAGUAA